rnacentral:lncRNA from 1 species
AUAUUUAGUACUUUGUAUUUUUAUAAGUUAAGUUUUUUGUUUAAUUUUUAUUGCUGAAAUUAUUUUGGCGGUUCUUCGGCUUCGCAAUUCUUAUUAACCAGUUGUCAGUUAUCAGUCGUCACUGACCGAGUAAUUUUUUUUGUAAAGAAAAAUGAAUUACUUAAAUUUUUAUUUAUAUUUUUUGUUAAUUUGUCAAACUAUAUUUUCAGGAUGAAGCAGCAGAUUCUGAAAUACAGGUUCUUUUGGAAAAAUACAAUAGCUAUAGGUAGUUUUAUAAUAUGUUGAACUCAUUGACUAUGUUUUAACUGUGGUGUACUGUCUUUUUAUAUCGCAUUCCUUUAUAAUGUUAUACAUUAUGGUUUCCUUAUGUGUUCGAAAAAGUUAGCUUAUAUAUCGAGAGUUUAAUGGAGGUUACAUUGAACUUUCUUCUAUUUUUUUAACUAAUAAAAAUUUUUAAAGAGCUCGUUAUCUUAGAGUUUUUGUGAUACAAACAUCAAUAUACUCAAAGGGGAUAUAUUAUACAUUGUGAAAAAGUCACCAAAAUAUGUAAACAUUGUAUAUUGAAUCUCCCAAAAAAUAUCCCCACAUCGGUUUCUUCAUUCUUAAUAAAAAAUACUAAAUCAUACAACAGGCAAGCUACUUUAGCAUAUUCAAAAACAGGUUGUAUACAGCCAAAGUUUCUUUAUUUGUUAUUACUUAGGUACUUAUUUACUUAAUCCUCUUGGUUCCGUUCGGA